AUUGAACGCUGGCGGCAGGCCUAACACAUGCAAGUCGAACGAGUGGCGGACGGGUGAGUAAUGUCUGGGAAACUGCCUGAUGGAGGGGGAUAACUACUGGAAACGGUAGCUAAUACCGCAUACCAUCGGAUGUGCCCAGAAGGGAUUAGCUAGUAGGUGGGGUAAAGGCUCACCUAGGCGACGAUCCCUAGCUGGUCGGAGAUGCUGAACAGCCAAACGGGAACAAGGCCGCGGUCCAGACUCCAACGGGAGGCAGCAGAGGGGAAUAUUGCACAAUUGGAGCAAGCCUGAUGCAUCCAUGCCGCGUGUAUGAAGAAGGCCUUCGGGUUGUAAAGUACUUUCAGCGAGGAGGCGUUACCCGCAGAAGAAGCACCGGCUAACUCCGUGCCAGCGGCCGCGGUAAUUC
rnacentral:rRNA from 1 species